GUAGCACAGAGAGCUUGCUCUCGGGUGACGAGUGGCGGACGGGUGAGUAAUGUCUGGGAAACUGCCUGAUGGAGGGGGAUAACUACUGGAAACGGUAGCUAAUACCGCAUAACGUCGCAAGACCAAAGAGGGGGACCUUCGGGCCUCUUGCCAUCAGAUGUGCCCAGAUGGGAUUAGCUAGUAGGUGGGGUAACGGCUCACCUAGGCGACGAUCCCUAGCUGGUCUGAGAGGAUGACCAGCCACACUGGAACUGAGACACGGUCCAGACUCCUACGGGAGGCAGCAGUGGGGAAUAUUGCACAAUGGGCGCAAGCCUGAUGCAGCCAUGCCGCGUGUAUGAAGAAGGCCUUCGGGUUGUAAAGUACUUUCAGCGGGGAGGAAGGUGUUGUGGUUAAUAACCACAGCAAUUGACGUUACCC
rnacentral:rRNA from 1 species